UUCAUGUUAGACAUAAAGUCAGCUUUAGGAACAAAGUCAAAUUAUUUAUCACUACUUGAAAUUCCCCCAAAACUUUUUAAGCUGCACUUAAAACAACUGAAUUACUGCUUUGAGAAUUUAUUUCCGAGUUUAAUUCAUUGAUAGAAAUGAUUGACCACAUUUUCAGAUUUUUACAAAUUUUAAGUCAAGUUUAGUUGUACAGCACAUUUCAGCAACGAACCAGUUCGAAGUGUUUUACAUCAGAAAAACGUCAGAAAAACAUGUGCCAGUUAUCAAACCAGCAACAACUAUUACAUUUAGUCAAAUUUUAUUUAAUAGACAUUUAUUACGUCCCUUUACUUUGUGUUGAUGUGUUACUCAGAAUCCCAGUAAAACACGUUAAAGUUUAUGCCUAUAAUGGGAUGAUUGUGGAAAAGGUUUAAAGGGUGAGUAUGUUUCCAAGGCAUUUUGUAUAAUAGUAGUAAAUCAGUUCAUCAGUCAAUAUUGUUCUUUAGAUAUCACUUCCUGAAUAUAAAAGAUGAUCUACUAACCAUUAUAUAGUGAUUAUUAACUUAAUCUUACAAAAAUAAUCUCAACCAAAAAAGAAAAAGAUAGUACUUAAAUCUCAAAUCUAGAAUCUUUUCAGUGGUUUGUCAAAUUAGUACCAGCUUUUCUAUCCGAAGACUUUAAAAUUUUAUUUUAUUUUUUAUGAAAGCCAUCAAUUAUUUAAUGUAUAGCUGCAACUUUAUGCUUCCCUUUUUCUGUCAUACAAGAAUGCAGUAUCCAACUCUUAUCUGCUGUGUGUGGAGAAUCAUCCACACGUCACAUGAAAGCAAAAGUCUGUCUUUGCUUUUCAUUAUUCAACCUCGAGGAAAACAGAUAGGAAGGAAAGAUAAGGAGAUGAAAGAAAGGUUAAAAAAAAAAGUCUUUCAUUUUCUUUCCUAAUUGGUCUCCUGCUGCCGGGCCGAGAGGAAGUGGAGCUUCCACACCUCCACCCACAGAGGACGCCUGGAGUCUGGCCCCAUCCCCGGAGCUUUGGAGGAGUGUGAAGUGCCAGCUUCAAUCCCAGUAAUCUCAAUCCCGCGCUCCACGGUCGUUUCUCCUCCGCGGCGGCGUGAAUGAGCCGGGGAUGACCUCCCUCCUGGUUCGCAUUAUCUGCCCACCUGUUAAUAUGAGACCUUUGACCUGACGGAGAGGAGAUGCGGUCAGAGGACAGCGAGUCUGUCCUAAUGAGUCUACGUCCAGUCGAUGUGUCAUUUGGUUUCAUUCACAAGACGAACAGCAGCUUGAACAAACCAGCAUGCAUGUGCUAAUAAAUUACUUUUUUUGUAUUUUCAUAAACAGAAUGAAAUUGUUUUUUAGCUCAGCCCUGCGAUCUCUGGUUUAUUCUCACAAAAUGUGUUUUAAUACCUUUAUUCCUCACAAUAAAUCGCUUCAAUUCAAAUUCAAAUGUACCUUAUUGAUCCCAGAGGAAAAUGAAAUGUUAUUGUAACUCAUAUUAAUUCAAAUUCUUCAGAUUCCUUGGACAAAGUGACAGCUGUUGGCAGGAAUGAUCUCCUGUAGCGGCCUGCGCUACAGUGAAUUUGAAGAAGCCUCUGACUUAAGACACUGUUUUUCAAACACAUCUAACUUGUCUCAUCUCAGUGCCAUUCAAAGUAAAAAUAUCACGGUUGAUGUUAUUUUAUUUUUAACAAAAUAAAUGUCUUCACAAGAUUAUGCAAAAUUGUAUUACUUAUUGUUUGUAAAGUCCAAUAAAUCUUUUUCUCCCUGUAAUUUAUUUUUUCUGCAAAAGAAAAGAUAUAUCACAUGGGUUCUAAGUAAGAGUACGGAAAGAGAAAUGUACGUUUUUGUGGGGUUUUUUUUUAAAGAACUUCAGAAAACGGACGUAGUGCUGAUUAUGUUUUCAUCUGACACAGUUUGUAGCUAGCUUAGGCUAAUGCUAACAUGUUGAUUCUGUUCUUCAAACGCAUUUAAUCAUGAUUUAGGCCCGAUUUCAAAUUGAAACUUUAUGAGACCAAAGCACCCUAAAGUAACUCAAUUGAUUGAUUGAUUUUAAAUGUUUCACAUCACUUAGCUAUCGUCGUUUCCUCCUGCUCUGUUUCUCCCUCCCCCGCCAGCACAGAGCAAACUUUCAUGCCCACACAUAUAUCCUCAUAUCAACCCGAUACAUCCCUGACACAUGCGGAGCAGACUUCUAAAGCAAAUUGAUUAUUUGCAUGUAGCCUAGCGCUCUCCCUCUGUGGUCUGCUGCACAGAUGUAUGGAUGGAUGCGUUACUUCCAUAGAGAGAGAGAGAGAAACAAAGAGCUGCAGCAGCAGGAGCCAUCUUUCAGAAUGACAGAGAAGUCAAAAGCCGGGAUUUUACUUUAACCCUGUCGAAGCAGCCGACACUUUGUGAGGUUUUGCCGCAAAAAGUGAGAUAAAAAAAGGAAUAUUUUCUUAGUUCCUACCCAGUUCCAAGUGCGUUACUUUGUGAAUAUUUUAAAACUAAUUUCUAAUCGCUGCAUGGGAAUUUGUUAAACUUCAAAACAGAACAUUCUGUGACAUCAUCUGUGUUGCUCUGUUGUUUCAUUUUGAAAGCCAUAAAAGUAAUGAAUUGGCCCCUGAUCAUCCAAUACAUGACUACUCCUCUCCCAGCCUUGUUAAUCAAUGUAAUGGUCAUAAGGACAGAUCAGCUUCCAAACAGGACAGCGGCUCUCAGAUGAUGUCUUGUUCCUGGUUGCUAGGAGACAGGCUCGUUUGCUACAACUUGAACGGUCGAGAUUAAAAAGAAACAUGUAGAGUUAAAGCUGUAAGGACUUAACACCUGAUGCCCAAUGAUUAUCAUAACUAAGUAGUCGGUGCUGAUGGCUGUGGACAUGAAGGAUCACCUGUAGCAAUCUCUGUUACAGAGGUUUUGAAGAAGCAUCCGACUGAAGACCCUCCGUUCUUGUAUGACAGUCUCAUGAAGAAGAUGCUCAGUGUUGACCAUAAUGUUACUGAUUUUAUGGCAAAUCCUUCUUUGCACAACAGUCUCCAGAGGAAUACAAAGAAGUCUAAGAGACAAGUU